rnacentral:rRNA from 1 species
GACGAACGCUGGCGGCGUGCCUAAUACAUGCAAGUAGAACGCACAGUUUAUACCGUAGCUUGCUACACCAUACACUGUGAGUUGCGAACGGGUGAGUAACGCGUAGGUAACCUGCCUGGUAGCGGGGGAUAACUAUUGGAAACGAUAGCUAAUACCGCAUAAUAUUAAUUAUUGCAUGAUAAUUGAUUGAAAGAUGCAAUUGCAUCACUACCAGAUGGACCUGCGUUGUAUUAGCUAGUAGGUGAGGUAACGGCUCACCUAGGCGACGAUACAUAGCCGACCUGGGAGGGUGGACGGCCACACUGGGACUGAGACACGGCCCAGACUCCUACGGGAGGCAGCAGUAGGGAAUCUUCGGCAAUGGACGAAAGUCUGACCGAGCAACGCCGCGUGAGUGAAGAAGGUUUUCGGAUCGUAAAGCUCUGUUGUAAGAGAAGAACGGGUGUGAGAGUGGAAAGUUCGCACUGUGACGGUAUCUUACCAGAAAGGGACGGCUAACUACGUG